GUAGGUGGCAAGCGUUGUCCGGAAUUAUUGGGCGUAAAGCGCGCGCAGGCGGUUCUUUAAGUCUGAUGUGAAAGCCCACGGCUCAACCGUGGAGGGUCAUUGGAAACUGGAGAACUUGAGUACAGAAGAGGAAAGCGGAAUUCCACGUGUAGCGGUGAAAUGCGUAGAGAUGUGGAGGAACACCAGUGGCGAAGGCGGCUUUCUGGUCUGUAACUGACGCUGAGGCGCGAAAGCGUGGGGAGCAAACAGGAUUAGAUACCCUGGUAGUCCACGCCGUAAACGAUGAGUGCUAAGUGUUAGGGGGGUUUCCGCCCCCCUUAGUGCUGCAGCUAACGCAUUAAGCACUCCGCCUGGGAGUACGGCCGCAAGGCCG
rnacentral:rRNA from 1 species